rnacentral:rRNA from 1 species
ACGUAAUAGAUACCCGGGUAGUCCACGCCCUAAACGAUGUCUACUAGUUGUUGGUGGAGUAAAAUCCAUGAGUAAACGCAGCUAAACGCGUGAAGUAGACCGCCGUGGGGAGUACGGUCGCAAGAUUAAAACUCAAAGGAAUUGGACGGGGGCCCGCACAAGCGGUGGAUUAUGUGGAUUAAUUCGAUGCAACGACGAAAAACCUUACCUGGCCUUGACAUGCCACUAACGAAGCAGAGAUGCAUUAGGUGCCCGUAAGGGAAAGUGGACACAGGUGCUGCAUGGCUGUCGUCAGCUCGUGUCGUGAGAUGUUGGGUUAAGUCCCGCAACGAGCGCAACCCUUGCCAUUAAUUGCCAUCAUUUAGUUGGGCACUUUAAUGGGACUGCCGGUGACAAACCCGGAGGAAGGUGGGGAUGACGUCGAGUCCUCAUGGCCCUUAUGGCCAGGGCUUCACA